rnacentral:rRNA from 1 species
CCUACGGGUGGCUGCAGUGGGGAAUUUUGGACAAUGGGCGCAAGCCUGAUCCAGCCAUUCCGCGUGAGUGAAGAAGGCCUUCGGGUUGUAAAGCUCUUUCGGCCGGGAAGAAAUCGCACGGGUUAAUACCCUGUGUGGAUGAAGGUACUGGAAGAAGAAGCACCGGCUAACUACGUGCCAGCAGCCGCGGUAAUACGUAGGGUGCGAGCGUUAAUCGGAAUGACUGGGCGUAAUGUGGGCGCAGGGGGUUAAAAUCCCCGGGCUUAACCUGGGAACGACGGUUGUGACUGCAAGACUUGAGUGCGGCAGAGGGGGGUGGAAUUCCACGUGUAGCAGUGAAAUGCGUAGAGAUGUGGAGGAACACCGAUGGCGAAGGCAGCCCCCUGGGUCGACACUGACGCUCAUGCACGAAAGCGUGGGGAGCAAACAGGAUUAGAUACCCUGGUAGUC